UGCCAGCCGCCGCGGUAAUACGUAAGUCCCAAGCGUUACCCGGAAUUAUUGGGUGUAAAGGGUCCGUAGGCGGACCUGUAAGUCAGGUAUGAAAGACCGGAGCUCAACUCCGCGUUUGUGCUUGAAACUGCAGGUCUUGAAUCAGGGAGAGGUUAGCGGAAUUCUAAGUGUAGGGGUGCAAUCCGUAGAUACUUAGAAGAACACCAAAAGCGAAGGCAGCUAACUGGAACUCGAUUGACGCUGAGGGACGAAAGCGUGGGGAGCAAAGAGGAUUAGAUA
rnacentral:rRNA from 1 species